rnacentral:rRNA from 1 species
CUACUCCCUGUUGCGUCCUUGCCUCCACACGUCGGCCGCGUACGCCGCGAAAGGUUAACACAAUAGUAUGACGGGGCCCGCACAAGCGGUGGAGCAUGUGGUUUAAUUCGAUGCAACGCGAAGAACCUUACCUGGUCUUGACAUAGUGAGAAUCUCUCAGAGAUGAGAGAGUGCCUUCGGGAACUCACAUACAGGUGCUGCAUGGCUGUCGUCAGCUCGUGUCGUGAGAUGUUGGUUAAGUCCCGCAACGAGCGCAACCCUUUCCU